AUGAAGGAGGAGCUUGCUCCUCCGGAUUAGUGGCGAACGGGUGAGUAAUACGUGAGCAAUGUGCCCUUGACUCUGGGAUAAGCGCUGGAAACGGCGUCUAAUACCGGAUACGACCAUCGGAGGCAUCUCCUGGUGGUGGAAAGAACUUCGGUCAAGGAUCAGCUCACGGCCUAUCAGCUUGUUGGUGAGGUAAUGGCUCACCAAGGCGACGACGGGUAGCCGGCCUGAGAGGGUGACCGGCCACACUGGGACUGAGACACGGCCCAGACUCCUACGGGAGGCAGCAGUGGGGAAUAUUGCACAAUGGGCGCAGCCUGAUGCAGCAACGCCGCGUGAGGGACGAAGGCCUUCGGGUUGUAAACCUCUUUUAGCAGGGAAGAAGCGAGAGUGACGGUACCUGCAGAAAAAGCACCGGCUAACUACGUGCCACAGCCGCGGUAAUACGUAGGGUGCAAGCGUUGUCCGGAAUUAUUGGGCGUAAAGAGCUCGUAGGCGGUUUGUCACGUCUGCUGUGAAAACCCGAGGCUCAACCUCGGGCUUGCAGUGGGUACGGGCAGACUAGAGUGCGGUAGGGGAGAUUGGAAUUCCUGGUGUAGCGGUGGAAUGCGCAGAUAUCAGGAGGAACACCGAUGGCGAAGGCAGAUCUCUGGGCCGUAACUGACGCUGAGGAGCGAAAGCAUGGGGAGCAAACAGGCUUAGAUACCCUGGUAGUCCAUGCCGUAAACGUUGGGAACUAGAUGUGGGGACCAUCCACGGUCUCCGUGUCGUAGC
rnacentral:rRNA from 1 species